rnacentral:tRNA from 1 species
GCCCCUGUAGUUCAAUCGGAUAGAACGCAGGUUUCCUAAACCUGCUAUCAAGGUUCAAGUCCUUGCAGGGGUA